rnacentral:tRNA from 1 species
CGCCUGAUAGCUCAAAAGGAGAGCAGCCGGCUCACAUCCGGAAGACAGCGGAGCGUUACCGUUUCGGGCGA